UUUGUCGCAUUAAAAUAAUUCGCUCGAAAUAGGUGGUUCAGGGUUAAGUUGUAUCGCAUCAGAAGUGAUGGAAAAGGUUAAUGCGAUACAGACUGCCCACGCAGGCGCAGAUGGUAUUGGUAAAACACAGCGCGAGCAUUCAAAUGUUGUUGUUGAGCCGCUCACAGCUUCCCAUUUCAUCUAUUCUGUCAAAAAAAGCAACCAACUGUGAUCACCGCCGUGAAUAAAGCCACAGUUGACAACGGUAACGGUCUCCAGCUAGGAUGGAAAAGACCAUGAGUUGACAAGGUUUGAGUACAGUUUUUUCACAGUAUCAGAAUUCCAGGGCAGUCCUCCUCCCGUCUGAAGAUAUGUUAACGGUGGUGUAGCCACAGAUGGGUGUGUGGAGACUGUGAAGAUGGAAUUUGCCAGUGCUCUACAGCUCCAGCCCUUUACCCUCUGCACAAUGUUUACAAUGUUGUGGAUAACAGUAAUUUACAUUUAGCUGAUGUUUCAACGAAUAUGACUUGCAUGCAGUUAAUACAUACUGCUUUCAGUCCCUGAAGCAAUGUGGGUACCAACAACACAAGAAGCAGCCCCAUGUACAGGCAUGUCAUGAGUCGUGUUCAAUGUAAUCUUUUUUCUUUUUUAAAUAAACAUUUACUAUUAUGAUCCCAAUGUUUCUUGUGCCUGAGAUCUGUAUGUAGUUUUACUAUUUGACUUCUCGUUGUAGUGCUGUCUGUUCACUGAAGUUGCACACAGGAAAGGCCAGAACAGGUUUUAAGUAUGUGUAAUUUAUUAAUUUAUUGUUUUUACUUCAUACAAAUGCACACAGCCAUUAUUUAUCAACUACUUUCAAUUGCAGAGGGAUUUAGCUGUACAAAUUGUGUAGUUUAUUUACAGCUCUGGUUUGUACAAACCAAACGAAACAGUCUUUGCAGGCAUG